rnacentral:lncRNA from 1 species
GCAUAUGGACUCCGUUUUUGAUGAACUCGAGCUUGUCACGAAGAUGACCAUAAGCUCUAAAACUCACAAAGAGAAACACCAAACAAGAACCAAGAAGUAUGAUGCAAGGAUGCAAAUGGUUUGAGCUCUCAGCAAACGAUACGAUCAAGCUACUCACUCGAGAGCCCCCCCCCCCCCCUUGAUAGAACAGCAAUCUAUCCUAACCAGAAAACCUAUCAAGGGCAAACCUAUACCUUGCACCUCGUCCUCUUGAGCUAGAUGAUGAUGAUCUUGGCUUCCUCAAGAUGGACCACCUUUCUUGAUUGUGUUGGCUUGAUGAAGACUAGUUGAUUGCUCCCCCAUACUCACUAUGGGUGAGCCACUCUUCAGCAUAUCUUCACAAGUCCAUUGCCACCACAAUGGACGGCAAGCUUCAAGCAUGCUAUCUUCGUGCUGAUCCACUUGAACUUGCACAUCGCAAUUUUGAUGACGAUCACAACUUGACGUCAUACUCCAUGGGUUGUAUGAGAUCUUCCCUUUGACGCAAGCCCAUGGAAACACACCUAACCCCCACAUAGAACUCUCACGAAGACCAUGGGUUAGUACACAAACACGUAAUGGACAAUGCUUACCAUACCAUGGGAUCACUUGAUCCCUCUCGGUACAUCUUGUACGCUUUGUGUGUUGAUCAUCUUGGUUUACUCUUUGUCUGAGAUCUUGAUCAACCAUUGAUGAUGAUCACAACUUGACGUCAUACUCCAUGGGUUGUAUGAGAUCUUCCCUUUGACGCAAGCCCAUGUAAACACACCUAACCCCCACAUAGAACUCUCACGAAGACCAUGGGUUAGUACACAAACACGUAAUGGACAAUGCUUACCAUACCAUUGGAUCACUUGAUCCCUCUCGGUACAUCUUGUACGCUUUGUGUGUUGAUCAUCUUGAUUUACUCAUGGGUUGUAUGAGAUCUUCCCUUUGACGCAAGCCCAUGGAAACACACCAUACCAUGGGAUCACUUGAUCCCUCUCGGUACAUCUUGUACGCUUUGUGUGUUGAUCAUCUUGAUUUACUCUUUGUCUGAUAUCUUGAUCAACCAUGUGUCUCUAUGACCAUUCUUUGGAUAAUACCUUGAAUACCAUCUUGGUCAUCAUAUAAACUCCUUGAACCCAACAGAUGGACUUCAAGAAGUGCCUAUGGACAAAUCCUAUAAAUGUAACUUAAGGCAACCAUUAGUCCAUAGGAAUUGUCAUCAAGUACCAAAACCACAUAUGGAGAUAUAUGCUCCAACAGCAGCGAUUGAAGGAUUCUGUCAGUGAUAGCUUCUUGCGGGAGUUCAAUCCCCAGUUCAGCUAGACGAUUUGAGUACCCAGACAUUUUGAGCACAUGUUCACUGACAGACGAGUUUUCCUCCAUCUUGCAAGCAUAGAAUUUAUCGGAGGUCUCAUACCUCUCGAUCCGGGCGUUCUUCUAAAAGAUAAACUCCAACUCCUGGAACAUCUCAAAUGCUCCAUGACGCUCAAAGCAACGUUGAAGUCCCGGUUCUAAGCCAUACAAGACUGCACAUUGAACUAUUGAGUAGUCCUCCUUACGUGCUAACCAAGCGUUCUUAACGUCCUGAUCAGCCGUAGCGGGUGGUUCAUCUCCUAGCGCAGCAUUAAGGACAUAAUCCUUCUUCCCAGCUUGUAAGAUUAGCUUAAGAUUACGAGCCCAGUCUACAAAGUUGCUUCCAUCAUCUUUCAACUUAGCUUUCUCUAGGAACGUAUUAAAAUUCAGGAUGACAGUCGCGUGAGCCAUGAUCUACAACACAAAUAUAUUCAAAGUGGACUUAGACUAUGUUCAAGAUAAUUAGAGUUCAACUUAAUCAAAUUAUAUGCUAAACUCCCACUCAAAAAGUACAUCUCUCUAGUCAUUUGAGUGGUUCAUGAUCCACUUACACUAUCCCAAGUCCGAUCAUCACGUGAGUUGAGUAUAGUUUCAGUGGUAAGCAUCCCUAUGCUAAUCAUAUCAACUAUAUGAUUCAUGAUCGACCUUUCGGUCUCAUGUGUUCCGAGGCCAUGUCUGCACAUGCUAGGCUCGUCAAGCUUAACCCGAGUGUUCCGCGUGCGCAACUGUUUUGCACCCGUUGUAUGUGAACGUUGAGUCUAUCACACCCGAUCAUCACGUGGUGUCUCGAAACGACGAACUGUAGCAACGGUGCACAGUCGGGGAGAACACAAUUUCGUCUUGAAAUUUUAGUGAGAGAUCACCUCAUGAUGCUACCGUCGUUCUAAGCAAAAUAAGGUGCAUAAAAGGAUUAACAUCACAUGCAAUUCAUAAGUGACAUGAUAUGGCCAUCAUCACGUGCUUCUUGAUCUCCAUCACCAAAGCACCGGCACGAUCUUCUUGUCACCGGCGCCACACCAUGAUCAUCCAUCAACGUGUCGCCAUCGGGGUUGUCGGGCUACUCAUGCUAUUACUACUAAAACUACAUCCUAGCAAAAUAGUAAACGCAUCUGCAAGCACAAACGUUAGUAUAAAGACAACCCUAUGGCUCCUGCCGGUUGCGGUACCAUCGACGUGCAAGUCGAUAUUUCUAUUACAACAUGAUCAUCUCAUACAUCCAAUAUAUCACAUCACAUCGUUGGCCAUAUCACAUCACAAUCAUACCCUGCAAAAACAAGUUAGACGUCCUCUAAUUUUGUUGUUGCAUGUUUUACGUGGUGACCAAGGGUAUCUAGUAGGAUCGCAUCUUACUUACGCAAACACCACAACGGAGAUAUAUGAGUUGCUAUUUAACCUCAUCCAAGGACCUCCUCGGUCAAAUCCGAUUCAACUAAAGUUGGAGAAACCGACACUUGCCAGUCAUCUUUGAGCAAAGGGGGUUACUCGUAACGAUGAAACCAGUCUCUCGUAAGCGUACGAGUAAUGUCGGUCCAAGCCGCUUCAAUCCAACAAUAACGCGGAAUCAAGAAAAGACUAAGGAGGGCAGCAAAACGCACAUCACCGCCCACAAAAACUUUUGUGUUCUACUCGAGAAGACAUCUACGCAUGUACCUAGCUCAUGAUGCCACUGUUGGGGAACGUCGCAUGGGAAACAAAAAUUUUCCUACGCACACGAAGACCUAUCAUGGUGAUGUCCAUCUACGAGAGGGGAUGAGUGAUCUACGUACCCUUGUAGAUCGUACAGCAGAAGCGUUAGAGAACGCGGUUGAUGUAGUGGAACAUCCUCACGUCCCUCGAUCCGCCCCGCGAACAAUCCCGCGAUCAGUCCCACGAUCUAGUACCGAACGGACGGCACCUCCGCGUUCAGCACACGUACAGCUCGACGAUGAUCUCGGCCUUCUUGAUCCAGCAAGAGAGACGGAGAGGUAGAAGAUUUCUCCGGCAGCGUGACGGCGCUCCGGAGGUUGGUGAUGACCUUGUCUCAGCAGGGCUCCGCCCGAGCUCCGCAGAAACGCGAUCUAGAGGAAAAACCGUGGAGGUAUGUGGUCGGGCUGCCGUGGAAAAGUCGUCUCAAAUCAGCCCUAAAACCUCCGUAUAUAUAGGUGGGAGGGAGGGGGCCUUGCCUUGGGGUCCAAGGACCCUCAAGGGGAUCGGCCGAGCCAAGGGGGAGGACUCUCCCCCCCCCCCCCCCAAACCGAGUUGGACUAGGUUUGGUGGGAGGGAGUCCCCCUUCCUUCCCACCUCCUCCUUUUUUUUCCUUUCUCUCUUGAUUUUCUUCUCCUUGGCGCAUAGGGCACUUGUGGGCUGUCCCACCAGCCCACUAAGGGCUGGUGUGUCUCCCCAAAGGCCUAUGGGCUUCCCCGGGGUGGGUUGCCCCCCCCCCCCGGUGAACUCCCGGAACCCAUUCGUCAUUCCCGGUACAUUCCCGGUAACUCCGAAAACCUUCCGGUAAUCAAAUGAGGUCAUCCUAUAUAUCAAUCUUCGUUUCCGGACCAUUCCGGAAACCCUCGUGACGUCCGUGAUCUCAUCCGGGACUCCGAACAACAUUCGGUAACCAACCAUAUAACUCAAAUACGCAUAAAACAACGUCGAACCUUAAGUGUACAGACCCUGCGGGUUCGAGAACUAUGUAGACAUGACCCGAGAGACUCCUCGGUCAAUAUCCAAUAGCGGGACCUGGAUGCCCAUAUUGGAUCCUACAUAUUCUACGAAGAUCUUAUCGUUUGAACCUCAGUGCCAAGGAUUCGUAUAAUCCCGUAUGUCAUUCCCUUUGUCCUUCGGUAUGUUACUUGCCCGAGAUUCGAUCGUCAGUAUCCGCAUACCUAUUUCAAUCUCGUUUACCGGCAAGUCUCUUUACUCGUUCCGUAAUACAAGAUCCCGCAACUUACACUAAGUUACAUUGCUUGCAAGGCUUGUGUGUGAUGUUGUAUUACCGAGUGGGCCCCGAGAUACCUCUCCGUCACACGGAGUGACAAAUCCCAGUCUUGAUCCAUACUAACUCAACUAACACCUUCGAAGAUACCUGUAGAGCAUCUUUAUAGUCACCCAGUUACGUUGCGACGUUUGAUACACACAAAGCAUUCCUCCGGUGUCAGUGAGUUAUAUGAUCUCAUGGUCAUAGGAAUAAAUACUUGACACGCAGAAAACAGUAGCAACAAAAUGACACGAUCAACAUGCUACGUCUAUUAGUUUGGGUCUAGUCCAUCACGUGAUUCUCCCAAUGUCGUGAUCCAGUUAUCAAGCAACAACACCUUGUUCAUAAUCAGAAGACACUGACUAUCAUCGAUCAACUGGCUAGCCAACUAGAGGCAUGCUAGGGACGGUGUUUUGUCUAUGUAUCCACACAUGUAAAUGAGUCUUCAUUCAAUACAAUUAUAGCAUGGAUAAUAAACUAUUAUCUUGAUACAGGAAUUAUAAUAAUAACUAUAUUUAUUAUUGCCUCUAGGGCAUAACUCCAACACCUAGAACAUGGCAUCACAUCAAAACUAUUCAACAUGCAUGUGAUAGACAUGCUUGACAUUGAUAUAUAUAACACAUCUAAAUAUCUUCAUGCUAAGAAAUAUAAUAAAACAUGAAAAAUUGCACAAAUAAAUCAAGCAAUACCUAGAAAAAUAUUCUGAGGAAUUAUAAGCAUGGCAAACACUCACCAAAAUUUGUACGCGCACGUACAAUAAGUAUCGAACAUUACUAAAAUAGUACUCCCUCCGUUCCUAAAUAUAAGACCUUUUAGAGAUUGCACUAUAUACUACGUACGGAUGUAUGUAGUCAUAUUUUAAAGUGUACGUUCACUCAUUUUAUUCCGUAUGUAGUCUAUAGUCAAAUCUCUAAAAGGUCUUAUAUUUCGGAACAGAGGGAGUAGUAAUAAGAUUAUUCUAACGAUGAUCCUAAAAUAAUAAUAACACCCAUCAAGUAUGUAUGAACAUUGAUAAUCCGUUACACCGAAUCAACUUCUACACAUGAAAGUAAUUCAUCAGAACUAGUAUACGGACAUAUAAUACUAUUACACGAUGCACGCAAUUAUCUAGAUGAAAAACUAAAAGACUAUUCUUAAUAAUUUAAAUGUACACUCAAAUCAAUCGAUUAAACCACAUGAUAUUUCUAAAAUUCGAAGGUGAAUACCAUGCACUCCUAGUCAUAACACGAACACAUGAAAUAACAUACUAAUAUAAAAAUUAACAAAACUAGAAAGACUCUUGAAUUAAAAAACGACUAUUAUCACAUCUAUCCUACGGUUCACAAGAUAAAACCAAUAAUCUAACUCCACCACAGCUUCUAUGGUCAUGGGAAUAAUUCCAUAUGUUGGACACGAAGUCAUAUAAUUAGUAGAAACUAAAGAAAACAUGUUGAUGCCACUGGAUGACCUUUGACUUUUGGACGCCCGCGUCCAACUUGCGAAAUAUGAUGAAUUAUGAUGUCUAAGAGAUACACUACAUGAUGUUGAGGAGGUGUACAAAACGAAAUUGAUAGAGGCUCAUCAAGUUCGAAGAAACAUGGCGAUGAACUCGACGAGCAAUGUAGAUGGACAUGUGAAAUUCUUCGUGUACGGUCGAUGGAAUGAACUUCUUCUUCUCUGAAUGGAACUGUGGCAUGGAUGAGAAUCUUCAGGCAUGAGAGUCCUGAUGGAGAUGGCCCAUGUCACCGGGAUUGAUACGUCACGUCCAUGGGGCUUCAAAGUUCAGGGAGCUUUCACGGGGAUAGGAGGAAGGGAGAGGUCAGGAGUUGCUGCGGGAAUGGAACAGGAGUUUGAGCGCACGUCUAUAUGUCUUGGGAAUUGCAAACGGUGGAAGUUGGGGAAAUUAGAGGAGGGCUUUGCUUCGACAACAGACAACAGCGCCAGAAAUUGACACGUUGACGGAGAUUGGGCUUGCGUUGUUUUUUACGUUGAAGAGGAAAGGGUGAUGCAGCACAGGAGGAGUAAGUAUUUCCCUCAGUUUGAGAACCAUGGUAUCAAUCCAGCAGGAGAAUCUCGUCAAGCCCAGAGUACCUGCGCAAACACAAAAGAGCUUGCACCCAACGCUUUAAAGGGGUUGUCAAUCCCUUCAAGAUUGAUUGCAAACUGAGAUCUGAAGGCGGAAAGUGCAACGAAGUAAAAAGUGUAAGGCUGAAAAUAUGGUGUGGAGUAGACCCGGGGGCCAUAGUGUUCACUAGAGGCUUCUCUCAAAAUAGCAAGUAUUACAGUGGGUGAACAAAUUACUGUCGAGCCAUUGAUAGAACCAUGCAAAGUCAUGACGAUAUCUAAGGCAAUGAUCAUACAUAUAGGCAUCAUGUCCGAGACAAGUAGACCGAUACUUUCUGCAUCUACUACUAUUACUCCACACAUCGACCGCUAUCCAGCAUGCAUCUAGUGUAUUGAGUUCAUGACGAACAGAGUAACACCUUAAGCAAGAUUACAUGAUGUAGAGGGAUAAUCUCAAACCAAUGAUGAAAACCCCAUCUUUUUACCCUUGAUGGUAACAACACGAUGCGUGCCUCGCUACCCCUUCUGUCACUGGGUGAGGUCACCGCACGGUAUGAACCCAAAACCAAGCACUUCUCCCAUUGCAAGAAUCAUAGAUCCAGUUGGCCACACAAAACCCACAAAUCGAAGAGAAUUACAAGGAUAUGAAAUCAUGCAUAAGAGAGAUCAGAAGAAACUCAAAUAAGAUUCAUAGAUAAUCUGAUCAUAGAUCCACAAUUCAUCGGAUCUCGACAAACACACCGCAAAAGAAGAUUACAUCGGAUAGAUCUCCAUGAAGAUCAUGGAGAACUUUGUAUUGAAGAUCCAAGAGAUAGAAGAAGCCAUCUAGCUACUAGCUAUGGACCCGUAGGUCUAUGGUGAACUACUCACGCAUCAUCGAAGAGGUCAUGGUGUUGAUGAAGAAGCCCUCCGUAUCCGAAUCCCCCCUCCGGCAAGGCACCAGAACGUGCCCCAGAUGGGAUCUUGCGGAGACAGAAGCUUGCGGCGGCGGAAAAGUACUUUCGAUGAUCUCCUGAUUUUUUCUGGGAUUUUAGGGAAUAUAUAGGCGCAAAACCUAGGGCAGAGGUGGCCCAGGGAGCCCACAAGCUAGGGUGGCGCGGGCCCCCCUGGCCGCGCGAUGAGGUCUUGUGGGGUCCCUGCAGGCUCCCUGCCCUAAUUCUGUGGCUUCUUGAUCUUUUUCUGUUUCGGAAAAAAUCUUUUUGGCAGUUUCAUUCCGUUUGGACUCCGUUCAAAAUCCUCCUCUGAAAGAGGUCAAAAACAUGGAAAAACAGGAUCUGGCACUUCGCACCGAGGAAAUAAGUUAGUCUCAAAAAAUAUAUAAAAGGCAUAGAAAACAUCCAAAGUUUGACAAGAUAAUAGCAUGAAACCAUCAAAAAUUAUAGAUACGUUGGAGACGUAUCAAGCAUCCCCAAGCUUAACUCCUGCUCGUCCUCGAGUAGGGAAGUGAUAAAGACUGAAUUUUUGAUGUGGAAUGCUACCUAGCAUAGUUGUCCUUUGCAACUUCUUUCACGUGACAUGAAUGUUCAGAUCCGUAAGCUCAAAACAAUAGUUUGCUAUUGACAUGAAAACAAUAAUACUUCAAGCAAACUAGCAAGGUAAUCAUGAACUUUCAAAAUAACAAGGCCAAGGAAAGUUGUCCCUACAAAAUUAUAUAGUCUGGCUAUGCUCCAUCAUCCUCACACAACUAAUGUAAAUCAUGCACAACCCCGGUAUUGUCCAAGUAAUUGUUUUCGCACUCUUACUUUCUCAAACUUUUUAUAACUAUCACGCAAUACAUGAGCGUGAGCCAUGGAUAUAACACUAUAAGUGGAAUAGAGUGUGGUGGUGGUUGUGAGACAAAAAGGAGGAGAUGGUCACAUUGACUCGGCGUAUCAAAAGGCUAUGGAGAUGCCCAUUAAUAGAUAUCAAUGUGAAUGAGUAGGGAUUGCCAUACAAGGGAUGCACUAGAGCUAUAAGUAUGUGAAAGCUCAAAAGGAGAACUAGUGGGUGUGCAUCCAACUUGCUUGCUCACGAAGACCUAGGGAAAUUUUAAGGAAGCCCAUCAUUGGAAUAUACAAGCCAAGUUAUAUAAUGAAGAUUCCCACUAGCAUAUGGUAGUGACAAAGCAAGAAGCUCUCAAUCAUGAAGAACAUGGUGCUAUUAUGAAGCACAAGUGUGGAAAAAGAUAGUAGCAUUGUCCCUUCUCUCUUUUUCUCUUUUUUGUUUGGGCUCUUGGCCUCUCUUUUUUUGGGCUCUUUGGCCUCUCUUUUUUCCUCACAUGGCACAAUGCUCUAAUGAUGAUCAUCACACUUUUAUUUACUCACAGCUCAAAGCUUAGAACGAUGAUGACUCUAUAGGAAAUGCCUCCGGCAGUGUGCAACGAUCUAGCUUGGCGUAUGACGUUGAAACAUCUCGCUAGCUAUCUUACGAUCAUGCAAUGGCAAUAUGAGAGUGACGGCACAAGUCAUGAGACGGAACGGUGGGAGUUGCAUGGCAAUAUAUCUCGGAAUGGCUAUGAAAAUGCCAUAGUAGGUAGGUAUGGUGGCUGUUUUGAGGAAGGCAUAUGGUGGGUUUGUGUACCGGUGAAAGUUGUGCGACACUAGAGAGGCUAGCAAAGGUGGAAGGUGAAAGUGCAUCUAUACCAUGGACUCACAUUAGUCAUGAAGAACUCACAUACUUGUUGCGAAAGUUUUUAUUAGUAAUCGAAACAAAGUGCUAAACGCAUGCUCCUAGGGGAAGGGUUGGUAGCUGUUAACCAUCGCGCGAUCCCGACCUGAACACAAAGGAUGACAAUCAAUAGAUCAAUUAUGCUCCGACUUCCUAACAUAGCGGUUCACCAUACGUGCAUGCUAUCGGAAUCAGUAACUUCAACAAAAGUAUUUCUAGAUUCACAACACCCUACUAACAUAACUCUUAAUAUUACCGAAUCCACGUCUCAAAACUAAUUGAGAGGAAUCAAGACUUCUCUUUCUACUCAAUCCACAUGAAGAUGGAGGUUUUUAUAUCCUCUUUGGGUACCUAUCACCUUUGGGACUACUUUCAUAUCAUAAGCCAACUACCAAGUCACGAACCACCGUGCUCUAAAAGAUAUAACUGAAGCACAUAGAGCAAAAUUAUCUAGCUCAAAACAUAUAAGUGAAGCACUAUGAGCAUUCUAGCAAAAUCACGAUGAGUGCAUGUCUCUCUCUCUCAAAAAGGUGUGCAGCAAGGAUGAUUGUGACACAACAAAAAGAAAAGACUCCUACGAUACAACACACUCCAAGCAAAACACAUAUCAUGUGAUGAAUAGAAAUAUAGCUCCAACCUCCAAGUAAUGUUACCGAUGGAUUGAAGACGAAAGAGGGGAUGCCUUCCCGGGGCAUCCCCAAGCUUAGGCUUUUUUGUGUCCUUCAAUUUGGCUUGGGAUGCCUUGGGCAUCCCGAAGCUUGAGCUCUUUCCGCUCCUUAUCUCUUUGUCCAUGAGAAUAUCACCCAAAACUUGAAAACUUCACAACACAAAACUUAAACAGAAACUCGUGAUAUCAUUAGCACAAGAAAACAAACUACCACCUCUUUUGGUACUGUAGCAAACUUGAAUUCUAUCUAUAUUGGUGUUGGGCUACUGUAUUCUCACUUUUCCAUGGUGAGUACCCCCUGAUACUAACCAUAAUUUGAUCAAAACAAGCAACCAACUCAACAAAAACAGAAUCUGUCAAAAACAUACCAGUCUCUAGCAAUCUCUAUACUUCGUAUACUUCUGUUACCUCAAAAAUUCUAAAAACUUACGACUGCCUCGGAAAAAGGCAUAUAAACCAGCAGCAAAAAGAAUCAACUCAAAAUCUCUUUCUGAAUAAAAAUGAAAAAUCAUCUCGUGAGCAAAAAGUUUCUGUCUUUUUUCAGCAGGAUCAAACAACCAUUACCAAGACUAGUCAUAAAGGUUUUGCUUGGCUCAAAUACAAAAAGAAACAAAAAAACACAAUCACAACAGAAUUAUGAUGGUGCGGAUGCAAAAAUACAGAAAGAAAAAAGAUAAAUUCAUUGGGUUGCCUCCCAACAAGCGCUAUUGUUUAACGCCCUUAGCUAGGCAUAAAAGCAAUAGAAUCACGUAUCGUCGUCUUUGGUGCUCAAACCAUAAGUGACCCUCAUCAUGGAUUCAUAAGGCAAUCUUAUUUUCUUUCUAGGAAAGUGUUCCAUGUCCUUCUUUAAAGGAAAUUGAAAUCUAAUAUUCCCUUCCUUCAUAUCGAUGAUAGCACCGAUAGUCCUUAGGAAAGGUCUACCAAGAAUAAUAGGGCAUGUAGGAUUGCAAUCAAUGUCAAGCACAACGAAAUCCACGGGUACAUAGUUCCUUUUUGCAAUAAUAAGAACAUCAUUGAUCCUUCCCAUGGGUUUCUUGACAGUAGAAUCCGCAAGAUGCAAAUUAAGAGAACACUCUUCAAUCUCAUUAAAACCCAGAACAUCACAUAAAUACUUUGGAAUCGCGGAAACACUAGCACCCAAAUCACACAAAGCAUUGCAUUCAUAGUUUUUGAUUUUGAUUUUGAUAGUAGGUUCCCACUCAUCAUGAAGCUUUCUAGGGAUAGAGACUUCCAAUUCAAGUUUCUCUUCAAGAGAUUUUUAUCAUAGCUUCGACGAUAUGAUCGGUAAAGGCCUUGUUUUGGCUAUAAGAGUGUGGAGAGUUUAACAUGGAUUGCAUCAAGGAAAUGCAUUCAAUCAAGGAGCAACUAUCAUAAUUGAACUCCUAGAAAUCCAUGGUAGUAAUUUCGUUACUACUCAAAGUUUUAAUAUCUUCUACUCCGCUUUCAAUGCUUUUUUGCAUCAAGAUAGAUGGACUCCGAAACAUUGGGGCAGUUUUCAACCAAAGUGGAUUCAUAUCCAGCCCCAUCAUAAUUAGAUUUGACACAAGAAAAUAAAGAUUGAAUGGGAGUCACACCAAGCACUUUAAGAUCUUCGUGAUUCUUAUCACGAGAACACGCCUUUUUAAGCCAUUCAUGUCUAGCACGAAUUUGGGCGGUUCUUUCUUUGCUCUCAAUCAUGGAAACACGCAUAGCUUUCAAAGUUUCAUCCAUAUUGAUCCUGGGAGGAGCACAUCUAACUUUCAAAGCAUCAAUAUCACUAGACAUUCUAUCAAUGCUCUUAGCCAAAUCGUCAAUUUUGAGUAGUUUUUCCUCUAUGGACGCAUUGAAAAUCUUUUGUGAGUUGAUAAACUCUUUGAUAUUACUCUCUAGAUCAGAGGGUAAUCUAUUGUAAUUUCCAUGAGUAUUGUUGUAGUAGUUGCCAAAGUUAUUAGAUGAGUUACUAGGAAAAGGCCUAGGAACAUAGUUUCCUCUAAAAGCAUUGUUGUUGCCAAAAUUAUUCCUACCAACAAAAUUAACGUCCAAUCUAGCAUUGCUACUCUCAAUCAAGGAAGACAAGGGCAUAUCAUUAGGAUCUAAAGGAGCACUUCUACUAGCAACCAAAUUCAUUAACUCAUCCAUCUUAGCACUCAACGAGUUAAUUUCUUCUAUAGCGUGUACCUUCUUACUACUAGGUGACCUUUCAGUGUGCCACUAAGAGUAGUUUGCCAUGAUAUUGUCUAGGAGUUUUGUGGCUUCCCCUAACGUGAUUUCCAUGAACGUUCCACCUGAGGCGGAGUCCAAGAUAUUUCUAGAAGCGAAAUUCAAGCCAGCAUAAACGAUUUGUAUAAUCAUCCAAAGAAUCAAGCCAUGAGCGGGACAAUUUCUAAUCAUCAAUUUCAUUCUCUCCCAAGAUUGUGCAACAUGUUCAUGAUCAAGUUGCUUGAAAUUCAUGAUAUCAUUACGGAGAGAGAUAAUCUUAGCCGGCGAAAAUACUUGGAUAUAUAAGCAUCUUUGCACUUAUCCCAAGAAUCGAUACUAUUUUUGGGCAAAGAAGAAAACCAAGUUUUUGCGCGAUCUCGCAACGAGAAAGGAAAAAAGCUUCAAUUUAAUAACAUCAUUAUCCACAUCUUUCUUCUUUUGCAUAUCGCAAAGCUCAAUGAAGGUAUAAGAUGGGAUGUGGCAUCUUCACUAGGAAGGCCGGAGAAUUGCUCUUUCAUAACAAGAUUCAGCAAAGCGGCAUUGAUUUCGUAUGACUCCACAUUAGUGGCAGGAGCAAUCAGAGUACUAAUAAAAUAAUUAUUAUUAGUAUUCGAGAAGUCACAAAGUUUGGUGUUUUCAUUCAUGGUGACUUCAGCAAUCAAGCAAGCACACAAGCGAACAAAGAGCAAGCAAUAAAAAGGGCGAACGAAAAGGCAAACGAAAAAGGCAAAUUGUGAAGUGGGAGAGAGGAAAACGAGAGGCAACUGGCAAACAAAGUAAAUGCAAGAGAUGAAUUUGCGACACUUACUUGGAUGAGUUCUUGACUUGAUCCUCCCCGGCAACGGCGCCAGAAAUUCUUUUGCUACGGCAACAGACAACAGCGCCAGAAAUUGACACGUUGACGGAGACUAGGCUUGCGUUGGUUUUUCCCUUGAAGAGGAAAGGGUGAUGUAGCACAGGAGCAGUAAGUAUUUCCCUUAGUUUGAGAACCAAGGUAUCAAUCCAGUAGGAGAAUCUCGUCAAGCCCAGAGUACCUGCGCAAACACAAAAGAGCUUGCACCCAACGCUUUAAAGGGGUUGUCAAUCCCUUCAAGAUUGAUUGCAAAGUGAGAUCUGAAGGCGGAAAGUCCAAACAAAGUGAGAUCCGAAGUGCCCCCUGCCCUGAUUCUACGGCUUCCCGAUCUUUUUCUGUUUCGGAAAAAAACUUUUUGGCAAUUUCAUUCCAUUUGGACUCCUUCAAAAUCCUCCUCUGAAAGCGGUCAAAAACAUGGAAAAACAUGAACUAGCACUUGGCAGUGAGUUAAUAAGUUAGUCCCAAAAUAUAUAUAUAAGGCAUACAAAACAUCCAAAGUUUGACAAGAUAAUAGCAUAAAACCAUCAAAAAUUAUAGAUACGUUGGAGACGUAUUAGGCUUCCAUAGUAACUGUAGGUUUCUGCUAUGUACGAGAACGAACAAAGAAGAGGAAGGAGAGCAAGCGCACACACAAUAUGGAGUCAUCAGUUUUUGAAAUCUGAAUUGAUUUAAGUAAUUGUGGAGGGCGACAAUCAUGACUUGAUGAUGGCGUUUCACUUCUAUCACUAGUAUAAAAAGGGUCGGCCGAAAGACCAUUAGUCCCGGUUCAAAUCAAAAUCUGUACCAAUGCCAGGCAUUGGUCCCGGUUCGGUUUGCCGGGGCAUUGGUCCCGGUUCGGUUCACCUCACUAGUCCUGGUUCGUGGAAAAACCCGGGACUAAAGAUCCAGCAACUCCCACGUGGUGUGCCGCGGAGAAUUACUCCCGGUUUGUGGCACGAACCGGGACUAAAGGGUAGGCUAUUAGUCCAGGUUGUAGACAAAAACCGGGACCAAAGUUCUGCCUAUAUAUACCGUCGCCCCUGCCCACACUCUCCUCUGUUUUUUGGCUGAAGUGUGCCCAUGCCAUGCCACCCUUGCCACUCAAGUUCAUGCAAUUGAUGUGUUCGAUGUAAUGCCCGAGCCACACUAGUUAAGCUUUCUCCUCUCCAAACUCGACAUCCAAACUCCAUUUUCCUCAAUAUUUGUCUAGGUUUGGCCGUGCACCAACUCCACAAGUGUUUUAAAAGGUUAGCUACUUCAUCCUUUAAUCUGUCACUGCUAGUUUAGCUCAUUUGAAAUGCUCAAAUUAACUUCUUAGAGUCUGCACAUGUGUAGGGUGCCGUCCCGUGCCCGUCCUCACCGUUGUCGAUCGCCCCACGCCGAUCUCAUCGCGAGCACCACCGUGGUGAGCCUCUUGUUCUUGUCUUCUUUUUAAAAGAAAAAAAAAUCUUACUUGUAUGAUUUAGAUACAUACUUGUAUAAAUUACUUACUUUCAUUAUUUUUCGUUAUUAUAUAGUACGAUGGUUUUGGUAUCCGCCUCCGUCGGCCCUCAUCUUGUCUAUGAUUCGGAUGUGGUAUAUAUUAUCUUUUAUAACUAUUUGUUUUAUUUAUUGUUUAUGAAAAUUAUGACGACCAACGUGACAUAUAUUUUUUAAUCUAGGAGGUAUGUGAACCGGAAAUUCCAACCCACAUAGAAAUUCUUCUCGAGAAGCUAAAUUUGGUUGAAAAAGAAAACAAAUACUUGAAGGAAAAAUUGAAAAUAAUUGGGGACAAGAAUAUGGAACUGGAGUUGCAUGUCGCCGAUGUCAUCGAUGAUCGCAAGAUGAAGAUCGAUGCGAUGUUGUUCAAGGUGGAUGCAAUGCGCUUGAAGAUGGAUGCAAUGCGCUUGAAGAUGGAUGAAAUGCGCUUGAAGAUUAGGAAUAUUAGAAAAUAUGCCAUUGAUAAAGAGGCUUGGUAUCAUUAUGCUGUUGGGUCAAUUGUUACCUUAGUUGCGAUUUUGAUCGCAUUUGUUGUUGCAUUUAAAUGUUUUAGAUAGUUGUAUGUUGUUUUAUGAGAGGAAUUUAUGUAUUUAUUUUUGCAAUAAUAAAGUUUUAUCACUACUAAGCUUUGGUUUUAAUGUGAUGAUGAACUUGUAUUAAUUUGAUCAUUUAUUUAUUCAUGAUGUUCUGCAAUGGUUUUUUGAUAUACUUAAUUUCAUAAUAGAGAUGAACCGCUAAUGGAUGUACGGUGACUGGCGCACUUCGGAGUACAUUACGAACCAGGACUAAUUAAUGCCCGAGUCACACUAAAGUUCACACAAAAUGGUAUCCUCGACUGAGGUUACCAACCUUCUUCAUGUGUAAUUGAUACAGAAAUAUUGCAUGUGUCAUUGUACGGUGGACAUUUCACUAUUCAUGUAUGAUGCCAGAUCGAUGCACGGAAGCGAUGGGUGUACGGCGAACGACGCGGUUCCCAAUUUAUUGCAGGCCUGCAUAAAUUUAUCGAUGUGGCUGAGGCAAACAAAGUGGAUAAUUUUAUGCCUUGCCCAUGUGUUGGUUGUCGAAACGGGAAGGAGUACUCUAGCUCGAAAGUCAUUCAUCUCCACUUGCUUCAGAGAGGUUUCAUGCCCAUAUAUUAUUGUUGGACCAUGCACGGAGAAAGAGGGGUUACGAUGGAAGACAAUGAAGAAGAUGAUGAUGAUGACAACUAUCAUAUGUUCACUGAAGAAGACGGUGAUACUACAAUGGAAGACAAUGAAGAAGAAGGAGGUGAAGAACAACCGGCAUCAGAUGAGCCCGCUGAUAGUCUUUGUCGGGUCAUUUCUGAUGCAAAGAGAGAAUGCGAUACAGAAAAGGAGAAGCUGAAGUUGGAGGCCAUGCUAAAGGAUCAUAAAAAGUUCUUGUACCCAAAUUGCGAAGAUGGCAGCACAAAGCUCGGUACCACAUUGGAACUGUUGAAAUGGAAGGCAGAAACUGGUUUAUCUCACAAGGGAUUUGAGAAGUUACUGAAAAUAUUGAAGCUGAAGCUUCCAAAGGAUAACGAAUUGCCCGAGACUAUGUACGAAGCAAUGAAGGCUAUCUGCCCUCUUGGAUUAGAUGUGCAGAAGAUACAUGCAUGCAUUGAUGACUGCAUCCUGUACUGCGGUGAGAAGUACGAGAAUAUGGAUAAAUGUCCGGUAUGCACUGCAAGUCGGUACAAGAUCAGGCAGGAUGACCCUGGUGAUGUUGAGGGCAAUGACAAGCCCCCCAGGAAGAAGGUUCCUGCUAAGGUUAUGUGGUAUGCUCCUAUAAUACCACGGUUGAAACGUUUGUUCAGAAACAAUGAACAUGUCAAGUUGAUGCGAUGGCACAAAGACGAGCGUAAGAAAGACGGGAAAAAGUUGAGACACCUCACAGAUGGGUCGCAGUGGAGGAAAAUCGAGAGGGAGUGGCCGGACUUUGCCGAUGACCCAAGGAACUUAUGGCUUGGUCUAUGUACAGACGGCAUGAAUCCUUUUGGGAGCAGAGUUGCAGUCACAGCACCUGGCCCGUGACUCUAUGUAUCUACAACCUUCCUCCUUGGUUGUGCAUGAAGCGGAAGUUCAUUAUGAUGCCAGUGCUCAUCCAAGGACCGAAGCAACCAGGCAACGACAUUGAAGUGUACCUAAGGCCAUUAGUUGAUGAACUUUUGCAGUUGUGGGCCAAACCAGGUGUACGUGUGUGGGUUGAGCACAAACAGCAGGAAUUUGACCUAUGAAAUUUUUUGUUCGUAACCAUCAAUGAUUGUCCUGCUCUUAGUAACAUUCCAGGACAGUCAAACAAGGGAUACAAUGCAUGCACACACUGUUUAGAUAAGACUAAAGGUACAUAUUUGGAAAAAUCUAAGAAGGUUGUCUACCUGGGGUGUCGUCAAUUUCUUCCGACCAAUCAUCCCGUAAGAAAGAAAGGCAAGCAUUUCAACGGUGAGGCAGAUCACCGGAAGAAGCCUAACCCCCUACUGGUGAUGAGUUAUUGGCUAUGGUCAAGGAUUUGGAUCAAAUAGUAAUCUUUGGAAAGGGUCCUGGUGGUCAUUCUGUUCCGAAAGACGAUGUUACUGGACACGUGCCCAGGUGGAAAAAAAAAAUCUUUCUUUUGGCAGCUACCCUAUUGGAAACACCUAGAAGUCCGGUCUUCAAUCGACGUGAUGCACGUGACGAAGAAUCUUUGCAUGAACCUGCUAGGCUUCCUGGGCGUGUAUGGGAAGACAAAAGAUACAACAGAAGCACGGGAGGAGGAGCAACGUAUGAAAGACCCAUACGACAAGAAGACUGAUAAAGGGCGUCAAUACUUAAGCAGCUAUGCUCUUAGCAAAGCACAGAAGGAAAUCUUUUUUGAAUGUCUGAGCAGUAUGAAGGUCCCCGCUGGCUUCUCGUCUAAUAUAAACGGAAUAAUAAAUAUGGCAGAGAAAAAAAUUCCAGAACCUGAAGUCUCAUGAUUGCCACGUGAUUAUGACGCAGUUGCUUCCGGUUGCAUUGAGGGGGCUUCUACCGGAAAAUGUUCGAUUACCCAUUGUGAAGCUAUGUGCAUUCCUCAAUGCAAUAUCUCAGAAGGUAAUCGAUCGAGAACGUCUGGAAAGGCUACAGAAGAAUGUGGUCCAAUGUCUUGUCAGUUUUGAGUUGGUGUUACCCCCGUCCUUGUUCAAUAUUAUGACACAUCUCCUGGUUCACCUAGUCGACGAGAUUUCCAUUCUCGGUCCUGUAUUUCUACACAAUAUGUUCCCCUUCGAGAGGUUCAUGGGAGUCUUAAAGAAAUAUGUUCAUAACCGUGCUAGGCCAGAAGGAAGCAUCUCCAAGGGCUAUGGAACAGAGGAGGUCAUUGGGUUCUGUGUAGACUUUCUUCCUGACCUUAAGCCGAUUGGUAUUCAUGAAUCGCGGCAUGAGGGGAGACUGGGUGGAAAAGGCACACUAGGAAAAGAAACAUCAUGGGGAUCGAGGACAAGACAGACAUGUCAGCAGAUUAUAAUAAGUUUGAUCAAAUUCCGCCCUUCAUAGUGAGAAUUGACCAAGCAUCCCGUUAAAUAAUGAAGAUGCUCCAUGGUUACGGCCAAAGAGAUCAUAGGCAAGGGAUCCAAAUAUAAAUCUAUGUAUUGUAUUAAACUUUGUGGGAUGUGUACUAAUGUAUUAAACUUUAUGUGAUGUGUACUACUGUAUUAAACUUUAUGUGAUGUGUACUAAUGUAUUAAACUUAGUUCAUUUGUAGUGCUUUUCAAUUUCAGGGUCAACUAGCUCAAAAAAAUAAGUAAAUGCACGAAAAAUAUCAAAUGAAGUCAGAAAUUGUUGAAAAUUUGUGAUGUGCCUUUGAAUGGUGCAUUUUGAACACACAAAAAGUAUGGAAUUCAAAUAAGGUCAAAAAUGAAAUCCCUUUGUAACACAUGAGUUAUCGUUCGAAACCCUCAUACUUCGACAGAGAUUGUCCGUUUUGUACACGAAGUGCAUCCAGUUUUUUGUCGUAACCCUCUCAACUUUUUAUCACAUGCUAUGUGGGUGAAAUGAUGAUAUCAUGCCAACUUUCUACAUUUUCAGAGUUCAUUUGUAGUGCUUUUCAAUUUCACGGUCAACUAGCUCAAAAAAAUAAGUAAACACACAAAAAAUAUCAAAUAAAGUCAGAAAUUGUUGAAAAUUUGUGAUGUGCCUUUGAAUUGUGCAUUUUGAACACACAAAAAGUAUGGAAUUCAAAUAAGUUCAAAAAAUGAAAUCCAUUUGUAACAGAUGAGUUAUCAUUCGAAACCCUCACACUUCGAGAGAGAUUGUCCGUUUUGUACACGAAGUGCAUCCAGUUUUUGUCGUAACCCUCUCAACUUUUUAUCACAUUCUAUGUGGGUGAAAUUAUGAUACCAUUCCAACUUUCAACAUUUUCAGAGUUCAUUUGUAGUGCUUUUCAAUUUCAGGGUCAACUAGCUCAAAAAAAUAAGUAAAUGCAUGAAAAAUAUCAAAUGAAGUCAGAAAUUGUUGAAAAUUUGUGAUGUGCCUUUGAAUGGUGCAUUUUGAACACACAAAAAGUAUGGAGUUCAAAUAAGUUCAAAAAAAUGAAAUCCCUUUGUAACAGAUGAGUUAUCGUUCGAAACUGUGAUACUUCGAGAGAGAUUGUUUGUUUUGUACACGAAGUGCAUCCAGUUUUUGCUGUAACCCUCUCAACUUUUUAUCACAUGCUAUGUGGGUGAAAUGAUUAUACCAUGCCAACUUUCAACAUUUUCAGAGUUCAUUUUUAGUGCUUUUCAAUUUCAGGGUCAACUAGCUCAAAAAAAUAAGUAAAUGCAUGAAAAAUAUCAAAUGAAGUCAGAAAUUGUUGAAAAUUUGUGAUGUGCCUUUGAAUGGUGCAUUUUGAACACACAAAAAGUAUACAAUUAAAUUAAGUGCAAAAAAAUGAAAUCCCUUUGUUAAAAUCUUAAACAGAAAACAAAGAUAAAAGAGAAAAAUUAUUAAAGUAAAAAAAUGUCGUCUAUUGGGCCAUCACGGCCUGCAUAUGACUAGAAACCCUACCCGACAGGUGGGCCAGGAUGCAGGCCCGCGAGCCCAAUAGGCCCAACAGGCAACGAGAGGACAGAUAGGCUCGUAGGCCUACUUUAGAGAGGAGCUCGAUGCACUUGUUGCGGCGGGGCUUAUAAACUAGUGUGAGCGCCCCUCGCUCGGCGAGGUGGGACUAAACAUAUCGUGCAGCCAGCCGAGGGGCUUUAGCCCCGGGUCGUGGCUAGAACCGGGACUAAACGACCCCCCCCCUUAGUCCCGGGUCUACGCCCACCCGGGGCUAAAGCCCCUCGCCUUCCCGCCUCCUCGCCUGCCGAAAACUACCUUUAGCCCCUGGUCGUGGGAAGAACCGGGACUAAAGGGUGGUCUUUAGUCCCGGUUCUUCCCAUGACCCGGGGCUAAAGCCCAUCCUAUAUAAGCGGGACUUCAAUUUUUCCAACCCCCACCAUCGCCAGUUUUGUUUUCUUCCUCCUUGCUCUCGCCUGCGCACCGCACGACACGACGACGAGCUCGACGCCGCCAGGCUGCCCCGACGUCCGCCUCGCUGUCGCCAUCGCCGACGCCCGUCGUCCUCCUCGCCGGCAUCGGAUCUCCGCGCGGGCCUCUUCUCCCCCGAGGUGAGCCACCGGCCCUCUUCUCCCUCCCCUCAUGAAGGCCGCGGCCGACGAGCUCGACCGCGCGCCAUUUCUGCCAUGGCCGCCCCUCCCAGAGCCCAUCCCCCACCUAGCCACCACCGGAGAUGCCCGAUCCAUCUCCGACGUAGGAGCCCCGCCGCACGCCGUCCAUCUCCGACGUUCGAGCCGCCGGUGUCGUAGACACAUGUACACACACACGUACACGUACACACACACACACAC